AAAUUGCUAGCUGCUUGGGAAGAGCGCGUGUGCGCGAUGGCACUCUGGGGCAGGGUCUCACUCUAGCCCAGACUGACUUGGAAUUCACCAUGCGGUUCCAGGCCGGCCCCAAACUCGCAGAGAUGCUCCUGCCUCAGCCGUUAUGUGGAGGAGGAACCUGCUCUCAUGUCUCCUGCGCGCUGUGCGUGACAGCGGUAAUGCGCAGUUAAACAAGGUCUCCACCAACAGAAGAAUGGACAGGAAAAUGACAGAUCUUUACGCAAGGAGAUAUUGUUCAUCCCUUAAAAGAAUGGCAUCCUGAGCUCUGGAGAGAAGGCUUAGUGGGUAACGCUGUGUUCCCUGAGCUGAUCUCGCCUCACUAAAUGAAGUGGAGAGGCUUCUCAGAAGACACCCUGCUUCACCCUCUGGCCCCUAUAUUUGAUUCUUAUGAAGUUCCCCUCCCAGAGGGAGAGAGAAAGCAGAAUGGAAGGGUUGCGGUACUCAGGAAUAAAAGUAGGCCACUGCUCCUCCCUCCUCAGCCAUAAGCACUGAGCGUGGAUUGUCAUUAAACAAACGGACUUAGCUGCUUGUCACCUUCCUCCUCCUCCUCUUCAUUCUUUCGCUCUAACUUACUCUUGAGUCAUAGGGAAGAAGACCAUCUAUGCAGGGACCUCAGGGACGCCUGCCUUCCUCACCUCCUCUCGACUUAACUCAGUGUCUUCGAACCACUUGUCGAUUCUGCAUCUAUUCUAAGCGAUGAAAUCUGGUUCAUUGGCGCCAAGAAGAAAAUCUUCCGAUUGCCUCUGACUUCUCAUCAUUCAACCCUGUCACUGGCACUUGAGAGCAGUAAGACCAAGCAACGGGUGUCCUCUGAACAUCUGACGCUGUCCCCUAUCUUUACGCUCUUUGCACCACGGUACCUUCCUCUGGGAAUUCCCUUCCCGCUUGUCCUGUUGGGAAGGGCCAGGUGGUAAGGGAUAACUGUCGGUGCCACCCUUUUUUGUCUAUAUCCUUUUCUGUUAGACAAGAGUUCCUGGGAAACCUGACUGUGAGAGUCCCUGUUUAGUGUAUCCGAAAAAUUCUGGAAAAGGACAUACUUAUUCUCAAGGGGUUAGAUGCAAUUUAAAAUAAUAUGCUUAGUCUUUAAAGCAACAGGUUCAUUUGAUAUCACUAUAGAAUGUUCCCCCCCAAGCUUUUGAAACAGGAAAAUAGUGUAUUUAUUUACUAUUUCAUUAUCCCAAGGCUUCAAAUUUAGAGGAAUCUAACCUGAAAACCUGUCUGGAGAUUGACGAACAACAUACUAAGCAGAUGUAUCCAUAUGAGAUAUGUUAAAACCAAAAAAGAAAAGUUAAGAUACUGUAUAACUAUAAACAUAUUUUAGGUCCUAAUUUUCAGAAAGACACCCUGUAAUCCUAGCCUUGGGCACUCUGUCCCCCCACCCGGCUCAUAACUUGUGUCUGCUCAGUUGUCUGAAACUGAACAGAGUGGUCAGCUUACAAGUCCAGGGGCUGAUGGUCCUAGCUUCGUCUCUGGAUGACUUCUACCUGCUUCCGUCUCCUCAUCCAUCAUACUCCUCUGCUUAUUCUCCCUCACUCAGUUUGUAUUGCUGGAUAAAGUAUACUUACAUGCUUUUCACAUUUACUUGAGAAAUUGUCCCCCAAAUUUUCCUCGUUAGUGACAUAACAAGUUCCUGAGGAAUGGCGGUAAUAAAUGGAGCACUGGUGCGGAUAAGGCCUUAGAAGCAGCUAGUGGAGCAUUCGUUUAUUCAACGAAUAUUUCUUCAGCCUUCCUUACAUGUCAGGCCAAGCCAGGCAGCGGCCUCCCAGACUGAUAGAUGUAUACUGUUUUAACCAACAUAGUCAACUGAAAUCGCAGAAUUUCCAAGUGCCUGAAGCUUGCAAGUGGGCAAAUGACGUCUAGACAUCUGGGACCAGGAGAGUGGGCCACACCAGCCAGUUAAAGUUUAGCAUAGCUACAUUUGCCAUGUCAGGUUAGUUCUUACGUAAGCAAGAGACUUUGUCUAUGUUUCAAUGAAAUUCAAAACAUAAUUGAAAAAAACAGGGUUUAAGCUGGGCAAGGUGGUGCACGCCUUUAAUCCCAGCACUCGGGAGGCAGAGGUAGGAGGAUCACCAUAAGUUCGAGGCCACCCUGAUACUGUGAAUUCCAAGUCAGCCUGGGCUAGAGUGAAAAACGAUUGGGAAUGGAGAUGGCUCGGUGCCCUCAUCCGAGCGCAAGGGACACAAAGACAAUCCCUAGAGUUUAUCCGUUACCAAUCAAGGCCAGGAUCGGGAAAAGACCUUGUCUCAAAGAAUGAGGAAGAAAACCACCGAGGAAUGUGCCUGAUGAGGUUUCUAGUUCCCACAUGUGUACUCAUGCAUGCAUGUGCACAUACACACGCACAUACGUGCAUAUAAGCCACACAUAGACACAUGCACACAAGUAACUGUAAACACUUAGCAGCACCUUUGGGGCCAAGCGUAGCACCUCGGUGUAAUAGGUCCUCACAGGCACCACUUUCCUAACGUGGUCUCACAUCAACCAACUGGUCUCCUAGGAUGAGAGCUCUCCAUCUUUGGAAGUUGUGGUAGUCUGAAUAUAAUGAUGUAAAUGUUUGCCCCCCCGUGGUGUUUUAGUAAGGAUAAGCUUCCUGCUUAAGUUCCCCAGCAGCCUGCGGGAGGGGGCGUGUCACGGGGGUGGAUCUAAUUCCUGCCCAGAGGUGUAUAAGGAGCAGUUUGAGUUGGGUGUUCUUGCUUGCUUGCUUGCUUGUGGCUCUGGCUGUUGGUGGUGUGUCUCUGCUGGGGUCUACAAAAGGGAGCCAACUUCUUCUGCCAUUGAUGGAACUUGCCCUGGAAUGAUAAGCUGAAAUAUGUCCAUCCCUCGCAUCAACUCUCUGGCUGGAUGUUCGUCUCAGCAGCCAGGAGCUAACUGCAACAGAAGGGUUCACUUAGUGUUUAAUACUGUUACUAUAGUAUCUUUAGAUUUAGAAAGAGCAUUCACAUACCCCAGGCGAGGGAGUUAGGUAAGCAGCCUGUGAGAUACCAGUACGGUAAUGGUAUCGGUGUGAAAAAUCACAGGAGUUUACCAUGCGUGUCACUAGGGUGGUGACUCUGGAACUCUUGGCUCCUUAACCCUGAGAAAAGCAAUGCCAAAUACAACUUGCUGUGAAAAUCUCAUAAAGUUUUUACUUCAGAAAGAUAUUAUAUUCUCCAACAAAAGCAUUUCAGGAACUCUUACUGAAGAAAUAUUUCUUAGCCAGGCAUGGUGGCGCACGCCU